CCCCCUUUUCGCGUUUCUCCUUCCCGCGUUUCUCCUUCCCUCGGCCCGCUCUCACCGCACUCUGCUCGGAGGGCUCCGAGGUGGUGCGGCCGCCACCCCGCCCGCCGCCGAGCCGACGGCAGCCCAGGGUGGGGCGGGGGCGCGGCUGGCCUUCGGGGACCGCGGGGCCAGCAGGUCCACCCGGCCCCUCCGCCUGCUCACAUCCCACCGCGCACUUCCCUCCAGCCCGGGCCACUGGCCGGCCUUCAGGUUGUAACUAGACGUGGAAGAAGCGGGACUAGCUUUGGAGAACGUGAUCGGGCCGUUGUCAUAGCAACUUUUGACUCCAGAGAAGAAGGCAUUCUCAGAUCACAGCCCUGACUCCAGAAGAGCUAAAAAGACACCAAGACUAAAAGGAGAGAAUGAUUUGCAAGAUAUGAUGAAACUGGACUGAUUCCUGAAUCCCCCAAGACCCUGAGUUUGAGACAAGGUGAAGGACUGUGACAGAUGGAGCUGGCAGUGCCCCUAAGCAACUAUGAGCUUCCUUAUCCUCGAAAACUUGUUUGGCUUUGGGGGAGGGGACAAAAAUAGAGACCACUACAACACAGUUUUUACUCCCUCCCAAGUGACGGUUAACUUCCUUGAGAGAAGAAAACAUAUUCUUGAAAAAGUUAGUUCAUACAUCAGUACCCACAGAAUGAAGGCCACCCUAGUGGCCAGGUCCACAUCACAAACCUAAACCUGAGUCAGCCUGCACUUAUAGGAAACAGUACUCCAGAAACAUACACACCAAUCACAAUCCUCCAACUCAGAAAACAGGGCCUCCUGGCCAACACUCCAUUAACUCACUCUUGCAGACAAUCCCUCAGGAACAGUGCUUCACUGCUUGGGAGGCAUUAAACUCCCCCAGUCCUAUGAUUAUUUUCCCUGUGGUCGGAAA